AUCUAUGAUGAUGAGUCCCAAAUAGGACGAAACGCGCGUCCUGGAU
rfam:Schistosoma mansoni strain Puerto Rico chromosome W, complete genome